UGGGGACGCUGAAGUGCGAUGGGGACGCUGAAGUGCGAUGGUCACGCUGAAGUGCGAUGGUCCACGCCGAAGUACGAUGGUCCUGUAGCUGUAGUGCGAUGGUUUGGCUUGACGUUCGAAUAUUGUGACGUUUUAUAAUUUAACAACAUUGAUUUGCAAGCAGGAUGAUAUGAUUUUGUAGAUGAAGGUUUCAUGCUCACAAAAGAAAUGAAAGGAAAAAGAAAAAACCGAACGAUUUAAGUCGCAAAAUGAUUUGAGCAUAACAUGUCGAUGUUACAAAAAUAUUUGUAACCAUGUCAGGCAACAAAAUAAGGGGAGCAACGGGGCUGAAAGAUGAAUUUGGUCAGCGAAUGGGUUAUCCUAUGUUCGGAAUAAUGUCGC
rnacentral:lncRNA from 1 species